AAGCCCUCUGCCAUCCUCGCCCGCAAGGUCGAACCUUGAACCUAGCCGACAUCGUCUCCGACGUUGGCAAAACCCUUGCCGUUCAUUUCGAUAUCAUACAUGCCAUGUAUCUUGCUCAUGUAUGCAUUAUGAUCUAUCUGCAUGACCAUUUGUUCAUCUAUCCAUGUCAUGCACUUGUUACAUGAUUAUUCAUCUCAUAUCUCGUUUAAUGCGCGAUCUAUCUUCGUCUAUAUCUCUGCCUGUGCCGUGCCUUCGUGCCGGUCUAUUUAUCUAUCUCUAUCUCUUUUGGUCGCUAUGGAAAUGUGCUACUCCGAGUCGUCGUCUUGUUAGUGUUGCAAUUUGUGCUUUUGUUCUUGUCGUUGUGGACCGUGCCGUCGAGCCGGUUGAGAGAGUGACGUGUUUGGAUGUUGCGAUCGCGAGUUCGUCUCGCCAUGGCCGUAAUGCCGAGCAUGUCCCUUCUCUCGUAUUUCUGUUGUUCCUUCUUUUGUUAUUUGCAUGCCUGAGGACCGAGCCUUCGAGCCGGUUAGGGAAAAUGGUGGAGCGAUCGAUCAUUUCGAUCGUGGGUUCGUCCCGCCGUGAUCGCGAUGCCGAGCGUAACUCAUUCCCUGUGAUUAGUUGUCUUCGCUGCGCUACGGUCGUUAGCUCCUAUUCCCGUCCCUCGAACGUGGUCAUCGUGGACUCGAUGUCGUUAACGACGCGGUUCUUACCCGCACACUCGAGACCUAAAUGACCUAGUCUAGUGGGAUACGAAUUAGGGGACAACCUUCGUAGAACUAUCGGAGAAACUCGUUAGGUGAAGCUCAUGGCCGCGAGUCCACCUUGCCAUGGCCAUUGGGCUUUACCCCAUUUCUCCCGUGUUUAUCCUAACCACCUCGUAUGCUUGUACCACUUCGACUAUAGCAUUCCCUCGGACCUAGCGGUGACAACCACAUCGCUAUGGGCCUUAGGAAUAGCCUUGUGCUGAUUUAGAUGCACAGUCAUGGUGCCCUACAAGUGGGUUGGGAUCGUGGGGUCGUAUUCCUUUUAUCCAACCGUCGUUGUUCCAUGAUGAGUUGGUCGAAAGAGUAUGGACUCCAUUCUUCUUCUCUCUUGUUCUCAAUCCCGUCGAUCCAGUAAGAUGGGGAUUAAGCCCCUUUUGCUUGUUUGAUGUUUUGUUUCCAAUCCCGCGAUUCCCGCCGUUGCUAUGGCGAGCGGAUCAAAGGAAGGUGAAUCCCGUGUCUUUUUCCGCCUUUUUGGUUCUUCGUGCUUAAACUCUUGUAUGCUUGUACCUAUAUCGAUCGUAGCAUUUCUUUGGUUCUUGUGGUGACAACCGCACCGCAAAGAACCUUAGUGAUGUCAUAGUGCAUUUAGUGCACCUAGGUUGUGGUACCCUACAAGUGGUUUGAGUACUCGUGUUCCUUAUGUGUCACUCUUUCUAAUCCCCCGUCUCUUACCAUGGCGAGUGGAUGGGAAGAAGUAGACCACUCCCCUUUUCUUCUUUCCUUGUUCCACCCUCUCUUGGCUCUCGCCAACUACAAUGGCGUAUGGAUUGAGAGAGACCGGAACUUCGCGUGCUCAUAGUCUUUUCGAUUCUUGUCGAUCUCCGUGAUGCUUGGAUCGAAGAGCCACUACCUAUGGUGUUUGCUUAUGAUAAGUUAGGGUCUAAGCCAAUUAUUAAAGUCGUACAGGUUGACUUAGUCGACCCAGGAAGUACCGGCUAGGCUAAGACUCCAGCUUGUACUUAGUGAACAACCAUUCCCAUUUCUUUUAGCCCAAAGAUCGGACAUCCGCCGAGAGGGCUAAGCCGUUUUCCUUUCGUUGCUCUUUUAGUGUAGUUGUUCCUCAGUGUUAUGUCGUCUCUUUUCGUAGUCUUUCGAGGUCUAGUGGUUUGAUUGUUUCGCCUUGUUUGUCGCUUUCGAGGUAGUCGCUUCGAGGUUAGCGUUGAUCGGACCAGGACCAGUUGAAGGAAGAACAUGUAGAAAGGAGGAUCUUGGAUGAGUACAACUACAAGUGAACUGAGGAUCUUGGAAAUGUCACUCGACAGGUGCCACGUCCCACCCAACCUCGUAGAAUCCUAUUAGACAUGCAAUAUUAUAGAUGCUAGUGCUUUACUUUUAUGCAAAUGAACUAUGAUAGGUUGCAUGGUAGAAAUGCUUGUGAGCCAUUGCCUUGUUGCAACCUAUAACCCUCGCACACCCGCUGUUAGGUUAGAUGCUUGCAUACUACUUGCCACUGCUUCUACUACGCAUUAUAUCUGUGAUGUGAUGCAUUGUGGAGGAUUGGAUGUGAGUGGAUAAGGCACGUGUGCCGAUAACUGGUUAAGAAAUGGAUAAUGGAUAUGGGGAGAUCUUGGCGUGUGUCUUGGGUGUGUGGUGAGGGUCGAGUCGACCGAGCAGGAUUUACGACGAGUCUUGGGACAAGUCUUGCCGGGGAAUGCUACCUGGGCGUUCUCCAUGAGAGAUACCUGUGGCGGGUACAUGUGACAGGGAGAGGUCCCGGAGUGGAGUGUCUUCGUGGGACGAAGCACCGGGAUGGGAGGUGCUGUAUAGCACGGGGUAGCCGGGUGUCCCGUCGAGAGGGGCAUCGGCUGGCCCCUCGUGAAGAUGUCCUGUUCGGUUACCCUAAGGACUGAGAUGUUCUGAGAACCGGUUCGUAGGAAGCCUUACACGCCACUCGCCUUAUUAUGGUGCGGGACGGAUGUACGACCAGCUAGUGCGGUGCCACUACUACUAGGUUGAUAGCGGAUAGUGUAGGGAGGUACGGGCAUGAGGACCCACACCCUCCUAAGACAGCGUAGUGACCUUUGGGGGCCCGGUACUACGCCUCACAGUCUCAGCAUGCCGGUGGUACUCCGGUAUGGCCCCAGUCCUGAGUGGUAGGGUGGCAUCGUAUUUAGUUGGAAGGCAGCCCGGUAUCAGCCUAGACGAGCCGGUUCGUCGAUGAUGGUGAUCUUGUGGUUAGUGUAAACCUCUGCAGAGUUUGGUUGAUCGAUCGAUACAUAUGCCGUCUUCUCGGCUAUGGACCUUUCCUAUGUUCCGCUUCGCUUGACUAGUGAGAGGAGUCCCUUCUAUCUUCCCCUGGGUUUGUGUUGGAUCCGGCGUUGGCCGUUGAGGCAAGGCACGAGCGGGAGUCGUACUUGCCGCCUAGAGAGUGAGAGUGUGGUGAGAUGUGUGUGAUGGGAUGGAUGGAUGGAUGUGUGGAUGAGAUGGAUUAAAACUUGAUGAAUUAUUAUUAUUAAAAUAUUGAUGAACUUGCAUAGAAAAAACUACAGCCAUAUAUAGGCCUCUUGAUCUACCCUUUUGCAUUCCACUUACCACAAAGCUUACGCAAAAGCAUAGGGUGGGAGCCAGUGGCCAGUACAAAUCGUACUGAAAAUUGUUUAGCAGGUUUUGAACGUGAUCUAUGACGAUAACUACGGAGAAUAGAAGGAUUAGGUGGUCUCGUUCCUGCGCUCAAGUUUGGUUCAGAGAUGAAGGCUGCGCCCGCUGAUAAACUACGCCGACUCUGAUGAUUGUCCGUGAAGGAGGAGCCUUCACCGCUGUCGCGCUACAUCGACUCUGAUAAAGACUCGCGUGUGUUUCCGCUAGAAAAACAAUGUAAUAAGCUUGUUAAUCAAGAGUUGUAAAGCAAAUGUGUUGUAAUCUUGUUUCUCACGAUGUAUGACUACGAUAACAGCUGAUAUAUGAUAAUGCGAUGGUUCAAUUUUUGAAUUAUCACAUUAUAAUUCGAAUCUGUGGAUUUUUCCCUUUGUGGAAAAAUCUGGGUCGUUUCAGUUGGUAUCAGAGCCAUACUUGACCCUAGGACGAGACCAUUAGGACCAAACACUAGUUUAGAAGCCAAACAUUCUAUCUUUUGUAGAGUUAUAGAUGCUAACACUUGUUUUCCCCCCUCCGCCUUGAAUUCUGUUGCUAACUGACCUCCCUGUUUCAUAAAGUUGACCGUUGGAAUCUUUUCCCAUACCCGCCCACGCUAGAUCGGUAGUCGUGUGAGACUUUGAAGGUCUGUGAGUCGCCUCAAGUCAACACUAUGCAUUAGGAGUUGUAAUGCUGAUUGAGUGCUUGGAUCUUAUGUUCUUGCGUUUCGUCUGCUUCUUGUUGUUUGAGUGUAUGUCAUAGAACUGUUUUAUGCGAGAAAAACUCUGGAUCCCGUCCAAUCUAGCUGGCUAAACCUAAGACUGUCCCGAAACUAGAUAAGUGACCCUGGCUAACAGAGCCGAAAAAGGGUUUAAAGCUGAUGCAUCAUGUCUUGCCCAUCUAUUUCAAAACUGUUUUUGGCUUCCAACUAAACUUGUCUUCAAAAUUGCCCUUUUGUUGAAAAAGUUUCUCUCCUUUUUGGUUGAAAAAGUUUAUCUCUUUUACAAAACAUCUUGGUUUCAAAAGGAAAAGUGUUUCAAAACUCUCUCAAUAUUCUUCCCUUUUCACAAAUAAAGCAAUUUUAACCCCCCUUUCUCAACUCAAACUCUAUUUAUGAAACGGUUUAAAAACAAGUUAUCUUCAAAAGGUGUUACCAAUCCUCUUUCUGAAAAUCAAAAGUUCUACCUUCAACCAACAAAGUGGUUUUCAAACCAAAGAUCUUUGGCUCAGUUUUGUUUUAAAUGUCUUUGAUUUUAUCUCAAGAGCCAAAUUCCUUUUAAAAUUCAACCUUGCCUUAAAAGAAAAAGGAAUUCCCAGUGAUUUAUUAAACAAAAACCAUUGUGAAAAGUUUUUGUUUAGCAACCUUUCAAAAAAAAGAACGAAAUGGACUUUCAAGUUUCAAAAAUGUUUUGGUUGUGAAGGCUCUAACUUUCAAAAUGCGAAAUGAUUUCUUGUUAUUUUCAAAACUAAUUUGUUUGACUCUAAUAAAAAGGGAGCAAUACCUUGUUUUAAAGAAAAUAGUAAUAAUAAAAUGAAAGAAUUUUAAAAUCUUUUGAUUUGAAAUCUUUUAUAAUAAAACCUUCAAAAUAUUUGGUUCUCAAAACUUGUAUUGAAUUCAACCCUCUGCAAAAGCUCUCUUCAUUUUGAAGUCUCAAAAAAAAAAUUGACUUUGUAAAAUCGCUUUCACUCCAUUUAUGAAACCUGUUUUUUCCGAAAAACAUUCCUUUCAAAAGCUUUUUGCAAAGAGUGAUGCAUGAAAAACUGCUGGUGAAAGCCAACAACCCUAGCUAUGUUUAAGCCUGCCAUGCACUCCUAGAGAGCCAGAUGUUCAUCAACCUGGUGCGAUUCUUGGAUACCCAUCGCCUUAUUGUGAGAAUUUGGAUACCCAACACCAGCGAGUGAGCCUUGGAUACAUCCUGAACAUGACUCGCCCCCACAUGGAAAAGGUUUGUGGAGCCAUCUUUCUGAUAGCAAAACAACUCAGAAGUAAGAAAAGCUUUGGGAACGACACCCGCGUUUCUUCACCGACCGAGCAACGCCUAAAUCUCGGGGACGAGAUUCCUGUAAGGAGGGUGGACUGUAACAUCCCAGAUUUUCACGAAAACCAAAAAUACGAGUUUUUUUAAAAUUUUUCCUGUAAUCGUGUGAAUCAUAUAGUAUUUAGGUCAAACUCGAUCCUAACCCGCUAACAAAUCGUGGCAUACAUAUAGAUUUGUUUGUAGACGGGUCGUCUUAAGUUGGAUCUUGUUAGGGUUUUGAGUUUCUUUUGGAGUGCACAAAUCCGUAGCAAAGCCUUCCCGAAUUUUCGUUGAGCCUAUCUCAAAGGCGAAGCGGAUCCCUUCUCAACCUUUUCGUUGGAGUACGUCUCAAACUCCUUUUGAUCCUUUUGAACUCUCCCUGAAAUUCCCUUCUCUCUCUCUUUGAUCUUAUCUAAAUCUCCUCCGCAAAAUCUAUCUUAAAUUCAUGGUAACUCAUCUCAAUCUCUUGUUGAGUUCUCUCUCGAAUGCCCCUCAUUUUUUUUUCCCUUUUAAAAUUUCUCUCAAAGCCCUUGAGUCAAAUUCGUAAAUGGAAGAUCCAUCUCCUUUCAUGGGCCAAUUCUUUCCUCCUCUUCCUCCCUCCCUCGGCCCAGCCUGGGCACCCUUCCCCCCUGUCCGGCCCAACUCGCGCGCGCCAAGGCCCAGUCUGCCCCUUACCCCCCAGCCAGGUCGGCCCACCUCGUUCCCCCUGUCUCCCCUCCGAGGCCCAGCUCUUUCCUUGGCCCAUCCAGUGCCGCGCUGGCCCAUUCGCUUCUCCCUGCUCUGGCCCAAGUCGUGGCCGGCCCAGCAGCCAGCGCCCCAGCCCCAACCCUAGCAGGGAGCUGGACACCUGAGCCCCAGAGCCGCCGCCGCCGUCGCCCAAGGCAGAGCCGCGCCAGCGCUCGCGCCUGCCACGGCUUCCGUGCGACCCCGCAUCCACCGCCGCGUGUCCCGCUGCGGACACGGACGCCGAGGAUGGCCGCAGCGUCCCUGGAGCCCUAGCGCCCGCGCUAUAAAAGCGGCAGCAGCCGCUCGCCCUUCUUCUACCCGCCGCCGCCGCCAUAGCCGACUCGAAGCUCCGCACCCUCACCAAGCGCCUCGACCCCGACCUCGCCCCGCGCACCUGCACCACCGAGCUCGGUCACGCCGUGACGCCGUCGAUCGCCACCACGAUGUCGCCCGCAACUGCGUCGCCCGAGCGUCUCGUCCUCGGCACCACCUCGGCACUCGCACCGCGCCCUCGCCGAGCAGCAGCAGAGCCGCGGCCAUGGCCUCGCCCUGCCGACGCCGCCAAGCACCACUGCGCCCGCCUCGGCCGUGCCCCUACCUCUGUGUCAAGCUUCAUCACCACGCGGGGGUCAGCCGCGGUGCCGUCCUCGCUGCGCAGCGGCCUCGCCCGGCGACGUCGAGCCCGCUGCCCUCGCCGCGUCGAGCUUCGACCACGGCCGGCCGCGUGGACGCCACAGCCCGGCCGAGCCUCUGCCUCGCCACCGUGGGAGUCGCCGCGGCCACGACGCCUUCAGCCCCGGCGCCCCUCCGCGUCUACGACGGUGUCGACCGCGAGCCCCCGUGCUGUCAUGGAGCUUACCUCGUCGAGCCGACACGCCGUCGACAGAGCCACCGAUGCCGCGCGCCGGGCACCAGAGCAAGCCCCUUCGCCGAGCACCCGAUGCGCCCCGUUGCCGCGGCCACGCCAGGACAUCGCCAUGGUCACCGCGUCAGCGCCGGCCGUGGUGAUCGCGACCCCGACCACGACGCCGUGCUCAUCUUGCCACGGUGACCGCGAACUUCCCUUUUGCUGGCUGCCGAUCACCACUGAACGUGCAGCAGCGGCAGCACCACCCCGCGCGAAGCUCUUCUCUGCCGCCGGUGAGCCACCAGUGCCCAAGUGCCCUCCUUGCUAGCUUUCUGUUUUGCCUUGCUGAAACCGGCCUUUGUGCCGUGUUCUUCACUGUACAGGGAUGCUGCACCCAUGUCGUGCCACUUGCCGGAGCCGUUGGACUUAACAUCGCUGCUGUUGGAGCACCGAACCUCGAGGCGUUGCCGAACCCCAAGACUUCUCUUUCAGAUGCACCCCGGCCACUUGCAGCAAGCCGCGACCAAGCUGUAGAAGCCCUCUGCCAUCCUCGCCCGCAAGGUCGAACCUUGAACCUAGCCGACAUCGUCUCCGACGUUGGCAAAACCCUUGCCGUUCAUUUCGAUAUCAUACAUGCCAUGUAUCUUGCUCAUGUAUGCAUUAUGAUCUAUCUGCAUGACCAUUUGUUCAUCUAUCCAUGUCAUGCACUUGUUACAUGAUUAUUCAUCUCAUAUCUCGUUUAAUGCGCGAUCUAUCUUCGUCUAUAUCUCUGCCUGUGCCGUGCCUUCGUGCCGGUCUAUUUAUCUAUCUCUAUCUCUUUUGGUCGCUAUGGAAAUGUGCUACUCCGAGUCGUCGUCUUGUUAGUGUUGCAAUUUGUGCUUUUGUUCUUGUCGUUGUGGACCGUGCCGUCGAGCCGGUUGAGAGAGUGACGUGUUUGGAUGUUGCGAUCGCGAGUUCGUCUCGCCAUGGCCGUAAUGCCGAGCAUGUCCCUUCUCUCGUAUUUCUGUUGUUCCUUCUUUUGUUAUUUGCAUGCCUGAGGACCGAGCCUUCGAGCCGGUUAGGGAAAAUGGUGGAGCGUUCGAUCAUUUCGAUCGUGGGUUCGUCCCGCCGUGAUCGCGAUGCCGAGCGUAACUCAUUCCCUGUGAUUAGUUGUCUUCGCUGCGCUACGGUCGUUAGCUCCUAUUCCCGUCCCUCGAACGUGGUCAUCGUGGACUCGAUGUCGUUAACGACGCGGUUCUUACCCGCACACUCGAGACCUAAAUGACCUAGUCUAGUGGGAUACGAAUUAGGGGACAACCUUCGUAGAACUAUCGGAGAAACUCGUUAGGUGAAGCUCAUGGCCGCGAGUCCACCUUGCCAUGGCCAUUGGGCUUUACCCCAUUUCUCCCGUGUUUAUCCUAACCACCUCGUAUGCUUGUACCACUUCGACUAUAGCAUUCCCUCGGACCUAGCGGUGACAACCACAUCGCUAUGGGCCUUAGGAAUAGCCUUGUGCUGAUUUAGAUGCACAGUCAUGGUGCCCUACAAGUGGGUUGGGAUCGUGGGGUCGUAUUCCUUUUAUCCAACCGUCGUUGUUCCAUGAUGAGUUGGUCGAAAGAGUAUGGACUCCAUUCUUCUUCUCUCUUGUUCUCAAUCCCGUCGAUCCAGUAAGAUGGGGAUUAAGCCCCUUUUGCUUGUUUGAUGUUUUGUUUCCAAUCCCGCGAUUCCCGCCGUUGCUAUGGCGAGCGGAUCAAAGGAAGGUGAAUCCCGUGUCUUUUUCCGCCUUUUUGGUUCUUCGUGCUUAAACUCUUGUAUGCUUGUACCUAUAUCGAUCGUAGCAUUUCUUUGGUUCUUGUGGUGACAACCGCACCGCAAAGAACCUUAGUGAUGUCAUAGUGCAUUUAGUGCACCUAGGUUGUGGUACCCUACAAGUGGUUUGAGUACUCGUGUUCCUUAUGUGUCACUCUUUCUAAUCCCCCGUCUCUUACCAUGGCGAGUGGAUGGGAAGAAGUAGACCACUCCCCUUUUCUUCUUUCCUUGUUCCACCCUCUCUUGGCUCUCGCCAACUACAAUGGCGUAUGGAUUGAGAGAGACCGGAACUUCGCGUGCUCAUAGUCUUUUCGAUUCUUGUCGAUCUCCGUGAUGCUUGGAUCGAAGAGCCACUACCUAUGGUGUUUGCUUAUGAUAAGUUAGGGUCUAAGCCAAUUAUUAAAGUCGUACAGGUUGACUUAGUCGACCCAGGAAGUACCGGCUAGGCUAAGACUCCAGCUUGUACUUAGUGAACAACCAUUCCCAUUUCUUUUAGCCCAAAGAUCGGACAUCCGCCGAGAGGGCUAAGCCGUUUUCCUUUCGUUGCUCUUUUAGUGUAGUUGUUCCUCAGUGUUAUGUCGUCUCUUUUCGUAGUCUUUCGAGGUCUAGUGGUUUGAUUGUUUCGCCUUGUUUGUCGCUUUCGAGGUAGUCGC
rnacentral:lncRNA from 1 species